rnacentral:rRNA from 1 species
GACGAACGCUGGCGGCGUGCUUAACACAUGCAAGUCGAACGGAAAGGCCCUGCUUUUGUGGGGUGCUCGAGUGGCGAACGGGUGAGUAACACGUGAGUAACCUGCCCUUGACUUUGGGAUAACUUCAGGAAACUGGGGCUAAUACCGGAUAGGAGCUCCUGCUGCAUGGUGGGGGUUGGAAAGUUUCGGCGGUUGGGGAUGGACUCGCGGCGUAUCAGCUUGUUGGUGGGGUAGUGGCUUACCAAGGCUUUGACGGGUAGCCGGGCUGAGAGGGUGACCGGCCACAUUGGGACGGAGAUACGGCCCAGACUCCUACGGGAGGCAGCAGUGGGGAAUAUUGCACAAUGGGCGGAAGCCUGAUGCAGCAACGCCGCGUGCGGGAUGACGGCUUGCGGGUUGGAUACCGCUGCCGCCUGUGACGAAGCGUGAGUGACGGUAAUGGGUAAAGAAGCACCGGCUAACUACGUG